CUGCUAAUACCGCAUGUGGUUAUACGGGUUUGAAACUGAUAACUAAAGGAGCAAUUACGCUUUGGGAGGGACCUGCGUCCCAUCAGCUAGUUGGUGAGGUAACGGCUCACCAAGGCUACGACGGUAGGGACCUGAGAGGGUGACCCCCCCACAAUGGAACUGAAACACGGUCCAUACACCUACGGGUGGCAGCAGUAGGGAAUAUUGCACAAUGGGCGAAAGCCUGAUGCAGCAACGCCGCGUGUGCGAUGAAGGCCUUCGGGUCGUAAAGCACUUUUCUGAGAGAUGAGCAAGGACAGUAUCUCAGGAAUAAGUCUCGGCUAACUACGUGCCAGCAGCCGCGGUAAAACGUAGGAGGCGAGCGUUAUCCGGAUUCACUGGGCGUAAAGCGCGUGCAGGCGGUUCGGUAAGUUGGGUAUGAAAUCUCCUGGCUUAACUAGGAGAGGUUAUCCAAUACUACCGGACUUGAGAGUGGUAGAGGAAGAUGGAAUUCCCGGUGUAGUGGUGAAAUGCGUAGAUAUCGGGAG
rnacentral:rRNA from 1 species